GAUUUUAUUUAACAAACUUAAUAUGAACAUGACUUGAAAAAGAAUGUUUGGGGAAACCAUUAAGUCCUAACUUUUAUAAAAUUGCCCACUCUGAAUUCUUAAUGUGCCAUCACUUUCUUUCUCAAAUAUUUAGAUGUAGGUCACAAUUAUAAGUCAAGAAAUAGUUUUGGUGCAAAAUGAUGUGAAUUCUCUUUUUAAAAGCUCCCCAGACUGAUAAAAGUGUACGUAUAUCAUUCGUUGAA